rnacentral:lncRNA from 1 species
UUUUUUUUUUUUUUUUUUUUCAGAGCCAUACCCAUGGCAUAUGGAAGUUCCCAGGCUAGGGGUCGAAUCAGAGAUGUAGCUGCCAGCCUACACCACAGCCACAGCAAUGUGGGAUCUCAGCCACUUCUGCAACCUAUACCACAGCUCACAGCAAUGCCAGAUCCUUAACACACUGAGUGAGGCCAGGGAUUGAACCCUCAUCCUCAUGGAUACUAGUUGGAUUUGUCACCACUUUGCCACAAUGGGAACUCCCAGAUAGGCGUUUAAAAAUUCAAAACUUUUCUCUUGGCAAUGUCUAGCACCUUUCAACUGCCUUGUUAUGUUUGGAUGGUGUUUUCCUUUGACAGCCUAUGACUUCACACUAGACAUGGGUGUUGCCAACAGCUGUUAGCCAGUGGGUGGGUCAGGCAGUCCUCCUAGGAGCUGCAUUUCCUUGUGUCACAAAGGUAGCAACAUUAAGAGUGUUUCCAUAGACUUUCUGUUAGCAGCCUUGACCACAGGCAAGCUGUGGCUUACUCAGCUGUGCAGGACAGUGGGCAGGCUUACUUACAUCCACUGCUGGAAGUGUAAAUCAGUGCAGUGGUUCUGUAGAGAAAUAUGGCAAUAUUUACAUAUUACAAAUACAUGCAUAGUACUUAAUACAAAGUAUGUGUUAAAAACCCUUAAAAAUGUGCACUAUCUGAUUCGGAAGUUCCAUUUCUAGGAAUUUUUUAUGCUUAAGGAAAUACUCAGACAAGUGUGCCAAGGUAUGUAAACAAGGAUGUUUAUAGAAGUGUUUUAAUUGGAAGAAAGUUGUAAACAACUAUUCAUGAACAGUGGCUUGACAAAUAACUUAUGGUGCAUUCACAUAUGGACUGUCAGGCAGCUAUUGAAAACUAUGGUGUGAAAUAUAGUUAUUCUGUGUAUUAUAUAUGGUAAUAUAUUUAUUCUGUAUUGCUAAAGGAAAAAUGGAUAUAAUAUGAUACAUUUAAAAUUGUGUAUAUUUACUUCCAUAUGAGUUUUUAUUUGCUCAGAAACAGAAAAUAUAAACAACAAAGUAUUCCCAACCAUUAUCACAGAUUAUGGGAUUAUGGAUGGUUUUAAUUUUAUUUUAAUUAAUUAAUUUUGUAAAUUUUUCCCUCUAAUAAUAUAUGUUGCUUGUGUAGUAAAAAUGAUCUUGUGAGAUGGUUUGUAUGUGACAUAGAGUGUUAUAAACUAUUCUACCAUCUAUCCCUAUUUAGAAAUGCUUAUACAUUUGAACAUGUGUUAAUAACAUUUCACUAUGUCAAAUGCAGACCAGAGAAAGAUGGCUUCUUUCAAAGCUGAAAUCCCCUCCCAGGGCUGAAAUCCCUUUAGGUCUGUUAUUUUGUUGACUUUGACAGAAAUAUAGCUCCAUAAAAUUAGACCUCUGUUGCAUUAGCUUGUGGACCCUGUGUUAUUACAGUCUCCAAUCUAUUCUACAAAAUCCAGGACUGUCUCUGAUGCGUUUGCAGUACACAUAUUGAAGCCAAAAGAAAUAACCCCCCCAACCCAGUAUAUAUACUUGAUCUAUAUUUUCCUUGGAAAAUAUUCUAAAGAAACAUCAUUAGUGCCAAAGAUUCCAGAGCCUCCUCUCUCCCACUGGGUUUGCUUCUUUGUGCUUUAUGCCAUUUAAAUUUUUGUAUCUCUUAUCUGCAACUUUGUGGCCACUUUAUGAAUAAUCUUUAGGAUGCCAAGGGUCUUUAUUAUAGGCUCUUUUAGGUUGGGUUUUCGUGUAGUUUCUAUAAUAAGGAAGAACUUAUGUCCUCAUGAUAAUUUAGGCAGUCAUAUUUUAAAUGUGCUUCUGUAUCUAACAUCACCGUGAUGGUGAUGGUGAUGAUGUAAUAGAAGCAGUAGUCAUAGUAGCAAGAACAACUAAUAACUUACGGUGCAUUCACAUAUGGACUGUCAGGCAACUAUUUGAAACUAUGUAGAAGUAGUGGUAGUAAUUGAGAUAUCAGUAGUAACUACUAGGCAGUUGUGUUCCUACGCUAGUACUACUAUUACUACCAACAAACCUAGUGGAAAUUCCAAUUAUGAAUCCCUUAGUAUAUGUAAGGAACUCUACUAUCCAUUGCCUUCUUUCAUCCUGAAACCUCCUAAGAAGUAGAUAUUAUUAUCCUCAUUUCACAGAUGACGGAAUUGAGCUUUAGAGAGACUGAGUAAUUUGCACAAAUGACACAGUUAAUCAGUGGCAGAGGUAGGGAGCAAACCCAGAUUGUAUGGUCUCUAACGCUGCAUUCUUUCUGAUAUACGCAUUAUCUUCUCAAACCUCUUAUAUUCUUUAGGUCUUUGGUUUACCAUUAAUAAAAUGAGUAGGUUGGGCUAACUAAAUAGUUGCUGUGCUUUCCUAUAACAUUGACAUUAUUGCAGUCUGUGUGCAUUAUAGUAGAGAAUUGAGGUAAUUAAAUGAAUAAAGCCACAUUGCCUGGGUUUGUAUCUUGGCUUUACACCUGGCAUGUUUUGUGGUCUUGCCUAGUUACCUACCUCUCUGUGUUUCUGCUUCCUCAUCUCUAAAAUGAACCCUGCAAUAAAUGCUCUAUAAGGCAAUUGUGAGGAGUGAAAAAGAUAAUAAAUGUACAGUGCCUGACACAGGGGAGGCGUGAAUUUCCUUUCCUUCUUGGUCCCAGUCUUUCAUAUCCCAAAUCUUUGAUUUAGCACAACUCCAAACAAUUUCAAGUUCUAGGAUGUCCAGUUCAUCUAGUAUGUUAGAGACUUUUACAGCUUGAGUUCUGAAAAUCCCAUCCCAGGAACCCUUCAAUCCUAGAAAACAGUAAGUCACCCUAUUUUAACUCUUCAGCCUGACCCUCCGAGGUCCUAGCUUGUAUGGUUCAUCUGUCUCUUUGUUCAUCUUUACAUUUCCAGUAGCCAUGUCUCUCCCAUCCUGGAGGAAGGUGGGAAAACUUGGGAAAUGCAGUCAUUCGUACCUGCAUGUAUUUCCAAGAUCCUAAAGUCAGAGCAUUGCAGAACUUUUUAACUGAAAGUUCCCUUAGAAAAUGUCUUACAUAUUUGGAGGCAGAGCACAAGUAAUUGCCAUAGUGUGAGGGAGGAGAAAAAGCCCAACCCAUGCACUAGAAUUAUAGAAUUCCAGGGGGCACAAAGCAAGGUUAAAAGAAAAAGUGGUCCUGAAUAUGGUAUUUGAAGCCUCUGAUUGAUGGGCAACAGGCUGUAGUCUCCAUCGGGGAGAAGCAGGUAGCCAAGGACAGCGCAGGGGCAGGGAUUCUCGGUUUCAGUCAGGGCAGGCAGGCCAGUCAUCCAGAGGCAGGCUUCAGUCACGGAACAGUUCAGGGACACACUUCCAACAAGGGGGCCACAGAGCUGAUCUUCUUCAGGGGACCAGAGUUUUAGGUAGGUCAUAUGCAAGAAGUCAUGGAGGAAUAAGACAAAAAUUCCAAUUAUUUGAGCUAAGAAACAAGAUAGAGACUCUAUCCUAAUGAAAAGGAUACCCACUGAUCAGACUUGGGGAGCAAGUUAUGAUGAGAAUAUUGAUAAGGGUGACCCAAUGCACAGUCCAUGAAUCUUCAGCUUUGCUCCCUCAGUUGUAAUUCCGAAUGAGUGGUGGUCUCAUUCUUUACUAUGAUUAGGAAGCACCCGGGGUGUUUUUAAAAGUCAAGAUUCUGAGGCUCGAUUCCUAAAGAUAAUGAUCCAUUAGCUUUGUGGUUGAUCCGACGACUACACAUUGUUUACGUGCCUGCAGCCCACUGCCAACUGGGUGAGGGGUGGCCCACAUGAGAGCCAAUGCACUAGGUGAUCCAAGGAGGCCAACUUUGGGGGCAGGAACUGAGGCACCGCCUGGCAGCCCCUCCCACUUGUCCAUCAAAACCUGAGGCCCAGAGCCAGGACCAGGUCCCAAGGCUCUUGGUCUGGAUUUGGCUGCUGUUUUGGUUGUGUGUGGGAUUCUACAUCAUGCUUAAACUGUAUCUUUAAAAAGUUUUUAUUGGAGUAUAGUUGACUUACAGGGUUGUAUUAGUUUCAGGUAUAUAGCAGAGUGAUUCAGAUAUGCAUAGACAUAUAUCCAUUUUUUCCCAGAUUCUUUUCCCACCUAGGUUAUUAUAGAAUAUCAAGUAGAUUUCACUGUGCUACACAAUAGGUCCUUGUUAGUUAUCAAUUUUAUAUCUGGUAGUGUAUAUAUGUCAAUCCCAACUUCCUAAUUUAUCCAUCCCUCCCUCGUCAUUAAACAAUAGCCUUUGUUCCCAACAUCUUGUCUUAAAUAUCUGCUAAGGCAAUAUGCUUCUUUCUCUGUCUCUUGAAUCUUGAGAUUUUAAUUUAUUCCUAAAAAGGAAAUCUCCUCAUACCUCUGCCUUUGGGGCACAAUAAACGACACAAACAUAUCUUUCAACAAAGUUUUCUUUACAACCAGCUGGAAAUCUCCCAGUUGUCUAACAGCCUAAACUCAAGCCAGAUCCUCCCUAGAAAUAUGGGCUGGACUCUUCAUAAGCUUAUUUUGUGAGAGAGGGUGCUUGAUCCUGCUGAACCAAAGUCAGGACAACUUGGCAACUACACGUGGUCCUCAUUUUUUUCUUUUAAUCAUUCUAAAUGUGGGCUCUGAAUGCACAGGUUCUCUUUUUGAAACUUGGAGAUCAAGGAAUAAAGAGGGCCAAGUGUAGUUUGAAGAAGUGGCUUUAAGAAAUCCAGGGGUUUUCAUGCAGAUAAAGUUAAGAACAGUUCCAGUUUCUGAGCAAAGUCUGACACAUGUGUUCUUAAUUUGAUUAUAAAGCUGAGCAAUGACUAAGAGGUUUGAAAGAUAGGGAAGAAUGCAGCAAUAUAGAUGAUGAAGAUGUCAGAUUCACAUCAUUAGGAAUUUAAUUCUUAAUAAUGAAAAGCCAACACUAUUAAAUUGAGUUGGGAUUAGCUUGUACCUACAGGGGAAAAUAUAGUUCCUGAGAUCUCCCAGCCUUUUUAGAAUGCAAAGAAUUUUGGAGCAAUUCAGUAAAGAUUCCUAAGCUAAGUAUUCCCAGUAAGAGUAAAUAUUAUUCAAGACGUGCAGCUUUGAAAACAACCUAUAAGUUCUAAAAUUGUCAUAUGGUUUCCACAUAGGUUGACAAACAAGAUAAGCAAUUUUAUUCACACCUACUUUAUUAGUAGUUCCCUAAACUCACAUUUACAAAUUUGCAGCACAUAAUGGGAAUAGAUCUUUUAGUGUGCUUAGAUUUUUUUUUCCCCACUUUUCUGUAAUUCUCUGUUUCUCAUUCAUUGGGUAAUUUUCAGAGAUGAGCAUUGCUGUGAAAAAGGCUGCUAAGUCAGUUGACACUCAAACUUUGGGAAGGCCAUGGUCAGUAGCUCAGCUCCCUUUAAAGAUGAAGAAAGCUACAAACAGCUUCGUCUCUUAGAUACAAAAUGAAGUAUAUGCACACACACG